UGCGUAGGUGGCGGGGUAAGUUUGAUGUGAAAUCUCCGGGCUUAACCCGGAAAAGGCAUUGAAUACUAUUCUGCUUGGAGGGUUGGAGGGGGGACUGGAAUUCUCGGUGUAGCAGUGAAAUGCGUAGAUAUCGAGAGGAACACCAGUGGCGAAGGCGAGUCCCUGGACAACACCUGACACUGAGGCACGAAAGCUAGGGGAGCAAACAG
rnacentral:rRNA from 1 species